GUGCCAGCAGCCGCGGUAAUACGAAGGGGGCUAGCGUUGCUCGGAAUUACUGGGCGUAAAGCGCACGUAGGCGGCCAUGAUAGUCAGAUGUGAAAGGCCUGGGCUCAACCCGGGAAUUGCAUUUGAUACUGCAUGGCUAGAGUCCAAGAGAGGGUAGUGGAAUUCCCAGUGUAGAGGUGAAAUUCGUAGAUAUUGGGAAGAACACCAGUGGCGAAGGCGGCUACCUGGCUUGGUACUGACGCUCAGGUGCGAAAGCGUGGGGAGCGAACAGGAUUAGAUACCCGCGUAGUCC
rnacentral:rRNA from 1 species